UUGAACGCUGGCGGCAUGCCUUACACCUGCAAGUCGAACGGUAACGGGCCUUCGGGUGCCGACGAGUGGCGAACGGGUGAGUAAUACAUCGGAACGUGCCCGAUCGUGGGGGAUAACGAGGCGAAAGCCUUGCUAAUACCGCAUACGAUCUACGGAUGAAAGCAGGGGACCGCAAGGCCUUGCGCGGACGGAGCGGCCGAUGGCAGAUUAGGUAGUUGGUGGGAUAAAAGCUUACCAAGCCGACGAUCUGUAGCUGGUCUGAGAGGAUGAUCAGCCACACUGGGACUGAGACACGGCCCAGACUCCUACGGGAGGCAGCAGUGGGGAAUUUUGGACAAUGGGCGCAAGCCUGAUCCAGCCAUGCCGCGUGCAGGAUGAAGGCCUUCGGGUUGUAAACUGCUUUUGUACGGAACGAAAAGCCUUCUUUUAAUACAGGGGGGUCAUGACGGUACCGUAAGAAUAAGCACCGGCUAACUACGUG
rnacentral:rRNA from 1 species